UACGUAGGGGGCAAGCGUUGUCCGGAUUUAUUGGGCGUAAAGCGCUCGCAGGUGGCCCGAUGCGUCGUGCGUGAAAGACCCCGGCUCAACUGGGGAGUGUCGUGCGAUACGGGCAGGCUCGAGUUCGGUAGGGGAGACUGGAAUUCCUGGUGUAGCGGUGAAAUGCGCAGAUAUCAGGAGGAACACCGGUGGCGAAGGCGGGUCUCUGGGCCGAUACUGACGCUGAGGAGCGAAAGCGUGGGGAGCGAACAGG
rnacentral:rRNA from 1 species